rnacentral:rRNA from 1 species
GGAUGCGAUCAUACCAGCACUAAAGCACCGAAUCCCAUCAGAACUUUGAAGUUAAGCGUAAGUUAAGCGUGCUUGUGCGAGAGUAGUACUAGGAUGGGUGACCUCCUGGGAAGUCCUCGUGUUGCAUUCC